GACGAACGCUGGCGGCGCGCCUAACACAUGCAAGUCGAACGAGCGAGAGAGAGCUUGCUUUCUCGAGCGAGUGGCGAACGGGUGAGUAACGCGUGAGGAACCUGCCUCAAAGAGGGGGACAACAGUUGGAAACGACUGCUAAUACCGCAUAAGCCCACGGUGCCGCAUGGCACAGAGGGAAAAGGAGCAAUCCGCUUUGAGAUGGCCUCGCGUCCGAUUAGCUAGUUGGUGAGGUAAUGGCCCACCAAGGCGACGAUCGGUAGCCGGACUGAGAGGUUGAACGGCCACAUUGGGACUGAGACACGGCCCAGACUCCUACGGGAGGCAGCAGUGGGGAAUAUUGCACAAUGGGGGAAACCCUGGUGCAGCGACGCCGCGUGGAGGAAGAAGGUCUUCGGAUUGUAAACUCCUGUUGUUGGGGAAGAUAAUGACGGUACCCAACAAGGAAGUGACGGCUAACUACGU
rnacentral:rRNA from 1 species